GACAGGCUUUCAGAAAUGACCCACGGAGUUCCGCCAGCCCCUUUUAUGAAGUGCUUACUCUCAGCCUUCUGUCACAUGCGCUACGUGCCUCAUCGCAGAGAAUCCUCCAGAAUAGCUCUGCGGGGUAGAAAUUACCAUCGCCGUUUAAUAGAAAGGGUAAGGGAAGCCCAGAGAGGGCAAGUACCUGACUCCAGCUCACACAGCGACAACAGUGGAGGGGCUGGGAUUCAAACCCAGGUUUUUCUGAUCUCAAAAGUCUGUGUUCUUGACCGCCAGGCUGAACUGCCCUAAAAUGGAGUGGCUUUGGUGCUUCUGGUCUAGUUUCAGGAGUUCACAGGAACAGCUGGCCCCCGAGAGGGAGGUGCGGGCAUGGAGGCUGGCUCGACUCACCAAACAUUUCCAGUGCGGGUCAGGUCCAGGGCCAGUCGCCGGGACAACGGCAAUCCCGGGGUGGAGACAGAUGCAUACAUGGCAGGCUGGAAAGGCAGUGCGAUUUGAGAAAAGAUGAACGCGCUGGCCAAGUACUGACCUCCCUGGCAGAAGGGGUGACCAACUUUCCCAGGGCGGAGGCUGCCUGUUCUCCUUGGCUUGUGGCCACACACGGAGACGUCUGCUUCCUUCCUCGCCCAGCUCUGAUUCCCUGCCUUCCUCCUCUGAAAUGCUUGGAUUACUCUAGGUCCGCCUGGGUAAUCCUGGAUAAUCUCCCCAUCUCACGAGUCACAGGAGCAGCGAACCUACCAGAGACGAUGAACGCCUUGCCCGAGGCCACACGGCUGAAACGGAGCUCUCAUGCCGGAAUUCGGUCCAAGAAGACAAUUGGACAAGUGUGACUGGUGUAUUUAUUAUAGUCAACAAGUUGGAAAUGACGUGACCAAUCACCAAGAAAGUACUGAUGAAAGGAGCCAGUGCAUCAAUUGAUUGAAACAAUGAACAGCUAUUGAAACAGGGUAAGAUGUCCACACACACACACACACACACUCACACACCUGUCAGUGAAUGAAAAAGCAGGUUACGCUAUGGUACACGGAAUGUGACCGAGCCGUUUGACAUUUAUAUAUAGGAUGUAUAUGUGUGUGUUCAUACCAAAAUGGUAGUGAUAUCUAUCUCUGGGGAGCAGGGUUUGGGGAUGAAAGCAGGAUUUACGCUUAUUUAUUUAUUUAUUAGUGUUUAUUCAUUUUUGAGAGAGAGCGUGAGCAGGGGAGCGGC